rnacentral:rRNA from 1 species
UACGAAGGGGGCUAGCGUUGUUCGGAAUUACUGGGCGUAAAGCGCACGUAGGCGGCUUUGUAAGUUAGAGGUGAAAGCCUGGUGCUCAACACCAGAACUGCCUUUAAGACUGCAUCGCUUGAAUCAUGGAGAGGCGGGUGGAAUUCCGAGUGUAGAGGUGAAAUGCGCAGAUAUCAGGAAGAACACCCGUGGCUAAGGCGGCUCUCUAGUACGGUACUGACGCUGAGACGCGAAAGCGUGGGGAGCGAACAGG